rnacentral:lncRNA from 1 species
GCUUUAUAAAUCACGUUGGGAGAGAAAAAUCAGAGCAAAAAGUAAAAACCAUAGGAUUAAAAAAAAAAAAAAAAAGUGGACGUAGCAUGUGUUUACAUUCAGUCUUAGAUCUUUUUCUGGAUGCAGAUGGCAUUUUCUGUCCAGUCUAUUGGGAUUGCUUUGAAUCACAAACACUAAGAACCAAGUCUUUCAUAUUUGAUUAUCGCACAUUGUUGCUGUUAUUUUACAAUGUAUUUCUGGUUCUGCUUCUUUUGCUCAGCAUUAGUUCAUGUAAAUCUUUCCAGGUUGUUCAUUUUUUUUUGAAACAAUAUUCCAUUACCAUCAUAUACCAUAACUUAUUCAGCCAUUCUCUAAUUGGAACAGAAUUGCUGGACAAGCACUCAGUGUCUAGUGUCCUUCCUACUGCAAAAAGGGCUGCAACAUUUUGCACUUGUGGGUCGUUUCUUUCCUUUAUGAUUUCCUUGGGACACAGAUCCAGUAAUGGCACUGUUGGGUCAAAGGGUAUGCAGUUUUAUAGCCCUUUGGGCAUACUUCCAAAUUGCUUUCUAGAAUGGUUGGAUCAUUUCACAACUCCACCAACAAUGCAUUGUCCCAGUUUUCCCAAAUUCCCUCUACAUUUAUCACUUUUUCUUGUCACCUUAACCAAUCUGAGGUGUGAGGUAGUACCUCAAGUUGUUUUUAGUUUCUCCAAUGAACAGGGAUUUAGAUUUUAAAAUUAUAAGUGGCUUUGAUUUCAUAUGAAAAUUGUUCAUGUCUCUAGGAAACUAUUAAAACAAAGUUGCAGAAGCUUAAUAUGAAUUGAUGGGCAGUCAGGUGGUCCAGUGGCUAGAGCUCUGGACCUGGAAUCUGGAAGACUUCUUCCUAAUCUAUUCUAAUCUGAUCUCACUUACUAGCUAUGUGACUCUGGGUAAAGUCACUUUAAGUCCAAAUGAGGUUACAAAGAGGCAAAACUGAAAAGGAAAAUUACAGUAAUGGAGGAGAUAUAUUAUUGAUGAAGCUAUGAACUGGUCAUCCUGGGAAGCAGUUCUUCAUUUAACAGUCCAUCUACACCUUCUGAUCCAGGAAUACCCAAAAAUUUUGGGUAUUUUGACAUAGAAGGAAAAAGGACUUGUAUGCACAAAAAUUCUAACAAUUCUGUUAGGAAAUAACUAGAAACAUAACUCCAACAACUAGGGGUAUGCUUGAACAAAUCUAAAUACAAUUAAAACAUUGCACGAGAAAUGACAAAAGGGGGUAGCUAGACUUGAAGUCAAUUAGACCCAAGUUCAAUUCUGGCCUCAAACACUUAACACUUCCUAGCUGUGUGACUCCAGGCAAGUCACUUAACCCCAAUUGCCUAAAGAACAACAACAAAAAAAUGACAAAAGGGAUUAGAAUUCAGAAACUUUUAGAAAUUAAUGCACAGAAUAGUGAACAAAAAUGUUUGAUGUGGUGAAAAAAUUUAAGGAUCUGAUCCACAAUGAUCAGAUUGGGAAUGAAAUAUGCUCUCCAGGGCCUAUCAAAAAGGUGGAAGAGAAUACGUGUACAUUUUCUG